UGGGGAAUUUAAGGGAGUCCUAAUAUAUGAUGACAUGAGAUGAUUUGACUUUGGGUGGUGGGCACAUGGUGAAAUAUACAGAUCUUAUAAC